CAGCCAGUCCAAUGCACCAAAACAUUUGCCAGCGUUUUAAAAAAGGUUUACACCUGCUGCUGAAACACUGCACAUGGCACAACGUUACAGGGAAGAUGUGGGAUGAGAAAGGCUAGAGUAGCAGUAUUUUUGACAGCUGGCAGUUAGCAUUUUUUUGUUUGAUAUAGGCUGCUUUUAGGUGGAGAGAAUCUGUGGCCUGUCAGGGUGGCGUAAGAAAAAAGUACGUGAUGCACCUGAUUGAGCAACUGGGUAGGUUCUAAUAUGGUGGGACACCCAAACUCACCUGCGAAACUGUUGGACACAUCCAGGAUUUUCUUCUGCCACGAGCCCAGCAGCACGCCGACGACUCGCUUCUGGUUUCCAACUUUUCCUAUCCUGAAUGGAGAAAGCGGUGAGCCCCGGCACCGAGCCCCUCGGGGAGAAGCUCUCCAGUGCCUGCUAGUGAUAAGUGACAUCCGUGGGACUGUGGCUGCAACAGAUCCACGCAGCUGGGACGUAUUGAUGCCUGAUGCUUUGGAUCCUAAUCCUAAAUGACACUUGCUAACGUGUUCCCUUAAUACUAUUUUUCUUUAUUUUUAAAUAAAGUCUUUAUUUUUUCUACAUAGGUGAAGAAGGGGGAAAUGUAUUUAAAAAGACUAGAAUAUGUUUUCAUUGAAAUGCCUUUUAAAAUGUGUUAAAAAUCCACUAGGGAAGAGCGAAGCUUUCUUUAGAACUGUCCAUAGUUUGUCACAAUACCUUUAUGCUACGGGUUCAAACAGGAAAUAUUUAUUUUGCUAUAAGUAAGUGUAGCUUUGUCCAAAUAACUGCAGCUUCCUGUUAAGAUUUCCUCGACCAGACUGUGCCUUUAACUGUUUUAGGAAGAAUGAUGCUGCCUGGAAUUGAACAGGGAUAAUGCAAGUCAUGGAAGGAAAACAAAGCCACCACAACAUUAGUUCUAAUUUGUUUUGGUUAAACCGUAAUUCAGUAAAAUGCUGAUGCUGUAUGCUCAAUGCAUGAUGCCAUGAAGAAUGUACUUACCCAAACUUCAAAAUAUGUAUCAGUUUGCUUCUGAAGACCUCUAAAUUGGAGCAAUAAACAUUUUUUUUCCAA